UUACUAGAGCAAAGGAUAGACAGCGCCCGCGGAGCCUUGCUCCCUGGGGCUACCCUACUUCGGUAAGGUUUAGAGUCGUCGGGCCUCUCGAAGAAGCUCGGUCCUGAACUCCACCCUUGAAUAAAUUACCUUUGUUGCUUUGGCGGGCCGCCUCGUGCCAGCGGCUUCGGCUGUUGCGUGCCCGCCAGAGGACCACAACUCUUGUUUUUAGUGAUGUCUGAGUACUAUAUAAUAGUUAAAACUUUCAACAACGGAUCUCUUGGUUCUGGCAUCGAUGAAGAACGCAGCGAAAUGCGAUAAGUAAUGUGAAUUGCAGAAUUCAGUGAAUCAUCGAAUCUUUGAACGCACAUUGCGCCCUCUGGUAUUCCGGGGGGCAUGCCUGUUCGAGCGUCAUUAUAACCACUCAAGCUCUCGCUUGGUAUUGGGGUUCGCGGUCUCGCGGCCCCUAAAGUCAGUGGCGGUGCCUGUCGGCUCUACGCGUAGUAAUACUCCUCGCGAUUGAGUCCGGUAGGUUUACUUGCCAGCAACCCCUAAUUUUUACAGGUUGACCUCGGAUCAGGUAGGGAUACCCGCUGAACUUAAGCAUAUCAAUAAGCGGAGGAAAAGAAACCAACAGGGAUUACCUCAGUAACGGCGAGUGAAGCGGUAACAGCUCAAAUUUGAAAGCUGGCUCUUUUAGGGUCCGCGUUGUAAUUUGUAGAA
rnacentral:rRNA from 1 species